UUUACAUGAUGUAUAUCAAUAGGGAAACUUUUAGUUGUCAAUUUAAGUCCCCGAAAGUGUUAGGACAACACUUAUUUAUUUUUCUGGAAAUGUGACUUAGGGCCUUCGAUUACCAGCAGCUAUUUCCACUAAGGUUGUCCGGCACACCUGAAAUUAGAAUUGAGGUAAAGGCAAAGCUGUUGUUGAACGACAAUGAGUUUUGAGCUGGAUGAAGAUUGUAUAUAUCGAGACAGUUCGACCUAGAGUGUUGGAUCUUUGGGACAACUAGGGCUCACGAUUUUGUAGUCGUUGUGCGACAUCUUUUGAUUAUGUAAAGUUGAAAAAUGUAGAUACGGGAUCCCAAAUUUUAUAAAUGUAAUACAGUAUAUGUUUAUUUAUUAAAGUUUAAA